AACGAACGCUGGCGGCAGGCUUAACACAUGCAAGUCGAGCGCCCCGCAAGGGGAGCGGCAGACGGGUGAGUAACGCGUGGGAAUCUACCCAUCUCUACGGAAUAACGCAUGGAAACGUGCGCUGAUACCGUAUACGUCCUUCGGGAGAAAGAUUUAUCGGAGAUGGAUGAGCCCGCGUUGGAUUAGCUAGUUGGUGGGGUAAAGGCCUACCAAGGCGACGAUCCAUAGCUGGUCUGAGAGGAUGAUCAGCCACACUGGGACUGAGACACGGCCCAGACUCCUACGGGAGGCAGCAGUGGGGAAUAUUGGACAAUGGGCGCAAGCCUGAUCCAGCCAUGCCGCGUGAGUGAUGAAGGCCCUAGGGUUGUAAAGCUCUUUCACCGGUGAAGAUAAUGACGGUAACCGGAGAAGAAGCCCCGGCUAACUUCGUGCCAGCAGCCGCCGUAAUAC
rnacentral:rRNA from 1 species